rnacentral:rRNA from 1 species
GACGAACGCUGGCGGCGUGCUUAACACAUGCAAGUCGAGCGGUAAGGCCCUUUCGGGGGUACACGAGCGGCGAACGGGUGAGUAACACGUGGGUGACCUGCCCUCAGCUCUGGGAUAAGCCUGAGAAACCGGGUCUAAUACUGGAUAUGACUCCAUGACGCAUGUUGUGGGGUGGAAAGCCUUGUGCGGCUGAGGAUGGGCCCGCGGCCUAUCAGCUUGUUGGUGGGGUGAUGGCCUACCAAGGCGACGACGGGUAGCCGGCCUGAGAGGGCGACCGGCCACACUGGGACUGAGACACGGCCCAGACUCCUACGGGAGGCAGCAGUGGGGAAUCUUGCGCAAUGGGCGAAAGCCUGACGCAGCGACGCCGCGUGAGGGAUGACGGCCU